AAGCGACCAAUUCGAAGCGCCGGACGAUGGGGUAGGACGCCGGCCGCGUCGGACUAAGGUCCGACGCCCCCUGAAGUCGCCCGGGCCUGCCCAUGCGU
rnacentral:sRNA from 1 species